rnacentral:rRNA from 1 species
UACAGGGGGUGCAAACGUUGCUCGGAAUUAUUGGGCGUAAAGCGCGCGUAGGCGGCCGCUUAAGUCGGAUGUGAAAGCCCCUGGCUCAACUGGGGAAGUGCACCCGAAACUGAGUGGCUUGAGUACUAAAGAGGGUCGCGGAAUUCCCGGUGUAGAGGUGAAAUUCGUAGAUAGUCGGGAGGAACACCGGGUGGCGAAGGCGGCGACCUGGGUAG